GUGUGUGUGUGUAUGCAGAGAGCUAGAGAAAGCUGGCAGCACUACCUGAAUAGCUGCUGAAAGAGUGAGACUUCUCAGUUCCUGCUUCAUUACUGGGUAGCAGCUAUUGCAGUGUGUGCGAGCUCCUAACUGUUCUUCCCAUCGAAAAGCCCUUGGUCAGGUUCCAGUUACCUUUCAAAUGGUACAGGGCAUCUUGAUUUCCCAGCACACAGAGGAGCAGGACUUGAAAAAUAUCACUGGAAUGAAUGGAGUCUCCCAGGAUCCUGGCAGCAAAACCAACGAGUGGGUGCCGGCCUCUGGGUCAGUUUUAUCAGGAUUUUCAAGCCUUCCUGUAUUUUCCACAAAGUCCCCUAAAUAUGGACAUUGUUCUUGCCAGUCUUGUUGGCUUUGGCAAUGUUUGGCUGUUAUGCCUGUUGAAGCAUUUCAGAGAGGAACACUAAAACAAGCAAAAUGUAUGUCAUUUCCUGGUAUUAAACCAGAGCUUUUUUGUAUCUUUUAGCUUUAACACUGUAAUAAUUUUUGAUCAAUUCUCUUUUUUUUCCUUUUCAAGAGUAACAUUCAGCUACUUCAUUGUCAAAAAGUUUAUGAUAAGAUAGGAAAAGGCAGUGCUAAUGAAUUGCUUACAACAAAUAUAAUACUACUGAAACCAUCAGCAACAAAAAUACUGUGUGAUUUGAGGCACUUCUGGAAAAUAACUAUUAGAUUCUCUUUACUACAGACCAAGUAAAAACAUGUCAGACUUCUCAUUUCAAAUAUCUGAUGUAGUUACGUGCAUUUUCUUCAUCCUGAAGGUUCAUCCUUGUGUGAAUAUUGUACUUACUGUCCUUCAGAGUGGCUAGCACAGAGUUUCUAGUUUUGCAGCUUUACAUAAAAGCACAGUUAGGAUUUAACAUAUGCCAUAUUUACCAAAAUCGAAUAGUAUUUUCCCAUAAAUACAUGAAAUCAAACACUUCCUGAGCUGGAUGUCUAGUACGUGUGUGCCAUCCUGCUAUUUAUAGUACUGUGCUCCUGAUAAUGACUACAUAAGCAUAUGUUUUGUUUCAGAUAAGAAUCAAGUUGAUAAAUAUUUAUCUGACUUUCCUUCAUGCUUAGGCUGAAAGUCACUCCAGUAAAGAAAAGCAAAGCAAAGUUAAAUUUUCUGCAUAUGGUGCCACCCUUUGCCUAAUCAGCCCCUCCCCUAUUCAGGGCAAGGACUGGAGAUGAAAUUAUGACAAUGCUUUGGAGCUCUGGUCUCUGACUGAUGUUACUAUAGCAAAAAUAGGGACCUAGAUAUCAAAUCUGCCAAAUAUAGACAUGUAGCUGGUGACCUCACCUGCUGGCCACAACAGCAGCAAUGUCUGGCCAUAGACUACAAAGAUGGUAAGAAUAAAAUGAAGAAAGCACAUGAGAAAUCAAGUGGAAAAUCCCAGAGAUCACAGAGCGGGGGAAUGGUGGGAAAACCAAUAAAUGUUUCAAGCACACCAGGAGCAAGAGGUCAGUAAGAGAUAUAGAAAUGUUCUUUGAGAAGGAACAAGUAAUUUGUUGACACAAAAAAUAUUUUCUAGGCAGCACACUAUCUCCAAAAAUUGGUCCUUUUAUCUAUGAUGUAGGAUUGGGAGAAGUCAGAAACAGUCAACGAUAUUCUUGCAAGGAUGAAAAGGGAGGAAAGUAAAAAUUCAAUCUCUGCAAAAGAAGGGAUUAAAUAUACAUCUAUUCCAAGAAAAUCUAGUGUACAAUAAAAUAUUAAGUAUGAUAGGAAAUUAGUCACAUCAGUUGGAUGUGAAAGGAUUUUUUUAGUAUGUUAAACCACGCAUUUGGUGUCUGAAGACCAAGAGCAUGAAAAGAAGUACCACCUUUUAAUUUCAUUCAUACAGUGUAUUCAGUAUUCUAUGACUGUGAGCAAACUCUUCCUUGCUGGCAUGCUAUGAUUCAGGCCAAGGAAGAGCCUAUAGCCUCCAUUCUACAUAGUCAACAGCCUACUUUUCAUGAAAUCUGAUGUUACUGUUCAAAUGAAGGAUGUUGAGUAAUUGACAGAUGCUGAAUGCUUUUCUUCCACAUUUUAUGUCAUCUUUAAUGCCAUUGGAUCUGUGUGUAUCUGCAUGUUGUGUUCUUAUGUGGGUGCACGUGUCUUGUCAUUACCAUAAGGAACUGGAAAAGCAGGAGAUGCUCAGCAGUAACCUGAUAGUCUAAAGCAUCAGUGAGUAUGUAGGAUCCCUCUUCUGCUUGAUUUAGACCAUGGAUUUGGAUACAGGCUUCCUAUCUCCCACAUGAGUGUCCUGGGCUAUUAGUUCUGCUAGUGUAGUCCCUUUUUGCUCCCCACUGAUGGAGAUUGUAUUCAAAAUUUAUUAUUAUAUCUAAAUAAAAGAUAAAAAUAUCUGCAAACUUCCCACUGUCAUCGUGCACCAAUAAUGUGCCAUAGGGUCCAGGGUCAUUUCAGUGUGUUUUAGUAUGUGUGCACAGUGGCUUGUGUUCAGUAUACUCAGAGCCAUAAACAAAUAUACAAUGGAUCACUGUUUCUAGCAGAGAUGUGAAAGACUGGAGCAUCCCAGGGAAGCAGUUCAUACCUGCAUCUCUCAGCUCCCACAGCCAUGUUGUCACACCAGGUCAAUCUGAAAUACCUCUUACUUUGCAUGAAGCCCCUGCUAGAGACUUGAAAGAUCUUCUCUAGCAGCAAUUUAGUGAAGAAGCUGCAUUUUCCAGCCUCUGAACUCAACAGGAACCAUAGCACUUUGUUAUUAAAAGUCAUAUGUAACCAAGGGUUUCUUUGCAAUGUUGCCGACACCCUACAGUUUUUGACGUUUCUGGGACAUUUUCACAGAAAGGUAGGCAUCUGAUGUUACAUCUGCUUCCUCUGCACCUGUCUGCGCAUCCUUUGAUAUCUAUAACUUCUGAAAAUGAAGAUUUCCUCCCCUCUCCUGACAGUGCAACAAAUUCUGGUACAGCAGUUACUCCUCUGUGUGUCAUGAGAAGUACUCACUCAUGCUCAGUGAUAAGUUACCCUUGGUACUCAGUGAAAAGUUACUCGUGGUACUUAGCGCAAUGAACUUGGCAGAUAAAGAAGAAAGAGAGUACUGAAAGCACUCUCAGGGGGAGGCAGCUUUGUCAGAUCAGGGCUAGGUGGGUGCUAAAAAUAUUGGAAUGGGCAGAACACACAGAGAUGGGAAAAUGCAGGUACCUCUAGACCAAAGAAAGGUAUAUGUUAUAAAUUUGACACAUCAAAUCCUCACCUAGCCCAGCAUAGUGUGCUUGAUAAUGGAAAGGAAAUAUACAGUAAAUUUUGAAUCGCAGCAGCCAUGUCCCACUUUUGCCUCAACUAUUAAAGAUGGAUGAGUUAAUUACCACCUAGUUAUCCAGCAGAAAGACUCACAAUAUAAAAUACUCUUGUGGAAAACAAAGUCGGCAUGGUCACCUCCUGUUCUUAAUGCAAGAGAAUCAGAGAAUUGUAAGCUAGACCAUGUGGUCAAUAAUUGCCAAAGUGGAAUAAAAAUACAGCCAGAAAACAUAACUAUCUUCUUUGAAAGUUUCCAUGAGAACCUCUCACACAAAACUGCAAAGAAAAUAUUUUCAGAGGUUUUCUGAGUGGGAGACAAUUUUCUAAAAAUACUGCAAUUUUACAAUAUUUUUGCUCAUGGAAUAACAGAAAUUUGGCAAAAAAUGCUUUUUACAGAUUUCACUCCUUACUUCUUCUCCAUUUAUUACAUAAAUAUGGUCUUUCAAGUAUGAAAUAGGCAUGCAGCACCAUUACCUGGUGGCCAAAUGCAGGGGUUACCAAGUUGAAGGCAGGCACAGACUCAGCAUCCCUGAGCCAAAUUUGAGUUGAUUUUGAUACCUGCAUUACACUGCCACUCUUGCUGUUUCCCAGCCCUCAGACACUACAUACCAAAUAGCUGGGUAAUAGAUUAAUAUUUUCACCUCUUUGAUUGCUGUGAUAAGGGAGCUUAAGACUGGUGCAGAUUUGAUUGGAGCAGACACCCUAGACCUACCUUGGAGAGGAAAGAAUUUGCCAGCUCAACUCCAGUGAUGUCAGGGAGAUUCAGCUCCUCACAGCAGCUAAAGAGCUGCUUGCUGAGAGCACAUCAGUGUGCUGUAACAGCAGCUUUGUAACAGCAGCUGCACAGAGAUCCAGAAAACAGCCUUCCACAGCCUGGGCAGAGCACUUUGAGCUGAGUUCAUCUCAGUGGGAAGUUUUGCUUUGCGUAUCUUCAGGUACACAUGAAAGCACAGUUACCUGUUGUUUUGUAGGCUGAGCAUGAAGAGAACUUUAUAUUGCCAACAGAAGGUGUGAGCAUCAUUCCCUUUGAAGUUUAAGUCAGAACUCUAGAGUAGGAGCAAAAGUAUCAGGAGCAUCAUUAACAACUUUCCUGUUUCUUCAGCACACAGUUGAAAGGCUGCUGUCAUGGCAAAUUUAAAACAUCUCCUUUGAAAUUAUUUUAGAUACCUUCUUUGCACUUAACCUUACAGUUUUUCAUCUUUUUUUUUUUUUUUCCAGCUCAAACUGUGUAGCAUUCCCUUUAAAGUUCCUUAUCAUUAUUUCCUAAUAUUUAAUUUUUGUAACACUGAUCUGGGCUUGGUUUUACAAAGUAAAAUCCAAAUGUGUGAGAACUAUGAGAGUGAGAUGACUGCAUAGAUAGGCAGACAGACACUGAUAUUUUCUAUCCUUAUAACAUAAAAAAUCAAAACCUCGUUAACUUGCCUUAUUUAAUUUAUAUUGCUUGUACCUCCUGGUCAAGGGAGUAGCCUUUUUUUCCUAUUUGCUUUUAAGGUGAUUUCACAGAGUAGUCUGAUCAUCAGAAAUAGAACUAUACCCUAGCAGGAGCCAGCUAAGUAAAAUCUUAGGCCAUUUCACACACAAAAAAGUAAAAAUGUCGAUAGUUUUAAAACACAAUGGAACUGAUCAAAAUGAAGGAUUCUGAGUGCAGAUAAACUUUCUGGACUCAGGCUUAUUUAUGUAUUAGUAGGAAAUGAAGGCAGCCAAGAAGCAAUCUGACUCUUCAUUACAAGGAAAAGCUCCUGGUUUGAGGAUUCUUAGGAUAGCAAAAGACAUGCUUUUGAAACCACCACAUUGUCAUCUCAAGUAUGGGGGAGGGUGUGUGGGGAACAGGAGAUAUUUUUUGUAACCAGUGGUGCUUUUAUUAAAUACAUGUUGUACAUUCCAAAUGGUUUCAAUUACCUGUAUGUCAGCAGUAAUAAAACAUUUCUUUAGCACUUAAUACAAGAAGUUCUUUGUAUUUUUUAAUCAGAACUGAUUUCUGGAAAAUACUUCAUGGAUAGGCAAAUGUAAAAAAUUAUGCAUCUCCCUGUGAAUUAGUCCAAGGAUGGGUUGGAACAGAGAUUUGCAAGAAAGUCCUGCUCUUCCAUCCCUGCCUCUCAAUGGCUCUGGCUUUUUUCCCAUUUUCUUUGCAGUCUGUGAGCAGUGGGUGGUGCUGCAGGAGACAGGAGAGAGGUUAAAACUUGUUCCACCUUACUAAUGCUGUGGCAGAGCCCAUUUCAGCCAGAUUUUUCAAGGAAAAAUCUGGGCUGCCCUGCCUGCUGCUUUCAGUUGCACCUGCACAGAGGAGGGAGCUGCUCUCGGUCUCUCUCAUACACACACAUAAAACUUUCAUGAAUGGAGAUGGGGAGCUCUUUGUUCUCAUUACAAAUCCCCUUCCCAACCUGUUUUUCAGUGACUAGCAAAAUCCUCCUUCUUCUUCUAAGAAAGAAGCUUGCUUUCCUGCAGGAACAGCUUCCAUCACAAGAGAAUAUUUGAUUACACCUCCACCCUGGGCCUAACAAGAAAAUAAAGCAAUGACAAAGACUAAAAAGUACAAGGUCCUGCAGCAAGGGCAUCUGUUGACCACAGAAAUUAGGACUGAAUGUCAGACAUUUGCCACUUCAGCAGAGCUCUGCCAGAAAAAUAAACCAAAUAACCUGUAUUUCAUAGCAACAGUAAUAAACAUCAUGGCAGAGAAUUCUACUUCCAGCUCUGCAGAGGCAGACCUAAGUUCCCCAAAGCCAUGGCAAUGCAUCCCCCAAUACAGUUGGCUUUGAGUCUGCUCUGGAAGAAGCAGGAGAGAAAACAAAGCAGAAGUUGCCUUUGAUGAUCAGGAUUGCAAUACUUCUGCCUAGAGGAACCACUCCCAUGUGUAGCAGAAUAGGAAAACUAGCAUAGAAAAAUUAGGCACAGUGACAUUAGAAGUCCAUCACAAACUGACUCCUCUAUCCCAGCUUCAGUCUAAGAAGCUGCUUCCCCAUGGCUGUGUGGCCCCAUGCAGGAGACCCCUCUCCUGGGCUCAGAAUGGACUGUGAAUGCAGGGGUCCAGUGUGGUUUUUAAUGAGAAGUAUAAAAGGGGUGGUUUUUAAAUUUACUAUAGCAUUUUGUUUACCUAAAUUCAUAGUCCUGUAGGUUUCAUGUUAGAAGAGAUGAAGGAAAAAAACCUAAAUGAGUAAUGCAGCUUUUAAUACAAGCAUCUGGUCCUGCAGACAUGCUGAGUGGGAGGAGGAGGAUUUUUCCAUUUUAAAUAAAGCAAUGAUUAUAAAAACAUGACAGAAGUGUGUCUUCAUAUGGGAAAGCCUGUCACCUUUAUUAUUUCUGCUGGCAGCAUUGACUAGAUGUACUUUCUGAAACAAGCCUUUCAUUCACAGACACAGCACUGAAGUAUUUCUCUCAUGAAAUGCAAGUAGAAAGCCAGAGGUAGAUGCAGAUUGUACUGGGAGAGGCUGCUAAAAUAAUCACUCAUUUCCAUCUUUAUUGUUUGUCACAGCAACACACCUUGGGUCAGGCCCUUCUUUUACAGAAGAAGGCUGUGAUCUUUCAGAGCAAAGAAGAUUACUUAUUUUUAUGGAUAAGUACUUAACUAAAGCCUUCAAUAGGCUAUAUUUUGUGCCUUUAAAAAAUUAUUCUUUUAUUUAAUGUUUUUUUGUAUCCAGAGUUCCUUUCUGAUAUUUCAUUAUUGAAGAUGUGUGAGGAAAACUCUUCACUUUUUUCACUUGGCUUCCCUUUCAAUAAGAAUGGCCAAAAUCCUCACUCUUGUCUACUGGAAAGAAGAAAACUUUUCAAGUGAGGAUAAACAACACAAAACCCAAACAUACAAGACAAGGAAGAACCACAUCAAUUUGUCCCAGAAAUGAUUGCUGAGAAAUUGCAUGGAUGGUGAAGAAGGCAGAGAAAUUAUAAUAUUCCCAAAAAGAAAACAGCUGGGGGAAAAGGAGAGGCAUGAUUCCACCCAUGCCAUAGUCCUACAAGAUAUCCAGGGUGCAGAGAACACAGUAAUACUACCAUAAAAUCUGGAAAUUGGUUUGCUCAGUUUGACCAAUUAAUUUGUGAAAACUUCACCCAAUAGCAAUAAUUAGCUUAUGGUAGUUCAGAUCAUCAGGCAUCAGUGCAAAAGGGGGUCAGACUGGUCCUCUGCAGCUCCCUUCUUUUUGCCUAUAGAGGUUUUGGGCACCUCAAAAGAGGCAUUGCUAUGUGCAGGUGUGGGACAGCCCACCCUGCAAAGCAGGUGCUGAGCCCUAGGACAUCCUGUGCUGUGCCAGGGAUGAGGAGGCUGCCAAGCUGCUCAGGGAUGCAGGAUGGCACCCACCUUUGCAGCACCCAGGGCUCCAAGCAUGGGAAAGGCACAGCCUCUGCAUCUCUGCAACACAAAACACAGAAGAGGGUUCCAAGCAGGGCCAGGGAGUGGUUUGCCCUUCUCACUGAUGGCAGAUCUAACUACAGAAUGGCAGAAAUAGUCUUCAGGCACGGAUGGUCUCACAUAGAGAAAAUAUAACUGGCCUGGUUCUGUCACUUCUGGGCAAGCAUUCUGACCCAGUGGGAUAUUAUACAAGAUGGAAGAGAUGGAGGCUUCUACUUUUCCUGUUAUGUUUAGGGGAAAAGCAGCAGCCAUAACCACAGUUUGCACAGAAACUGGUUGAAUGGUGAAUGUGAAAACAAGAUGAGACCCACAAGUUUGAGACAUCCCAGGAGGUACAGACUUGGGGAGUGAAGGUGAAGAUCAGCAGAGGCUCAGGGUCAAUAUUUUGGGGCAGCCACCUUAAUUCCACCUACACUUCUUGGGUGCCCAUCUCUUAUCAGGUUUGCUCCUGCCUGGCUCCACCUACAUUCCCACACCUGUGGAGCAGAGGAAAGAGAAUGCCAAAGACAAUUCUGAUGGCUGACACUAGCAGGGAGAGGGAGGGAUAGGACUUACUGAAC